ACCCNGGUAGCAUACGCUCUUUGCUGUGU
rnacentral:piRNA from 1 species